rnacentral:lncRNA from 10 species
GAGCAGCCCCCGCCGCCCGGCCGGCACCCAGCCGCCCGGGGCCGAGGGCCGGAGGCGGGAGGGCCGCGCCGCGCUCGCCUGGCGGGCCGGACUGCGGAUCCCGCAGACGCUCGUCCCUCUCUGGGGGACGGAGGGGAUGUGUGCCCCUACCACAAGAAAAAUAAUAAAUUACACAAUAAAUAAUCAAAAUCAAGUCCGAGACGGCAGAGCCCAAGCCCAGGACGGUUCUCCCGGGCGGAGAGGCGCCCGCACAGGAGCGGGAAGGGCGAGA